GGGUCAGUAGGUUGGUCGUGCCACCGGUACGUACUGGUCUCACUGAUUCCUCCUUCCUGAAGAACCGUAAUGCCAUUAAUUUGGUGUUGCGGGGAAACAGGACUGUUACUUUGAAAAAGUUAGAGUGUUUAAAGCAAGCUAACGCUUGAAUACAUUAGCAUGGAAUAAUGAAAUAGGACGAUCGAUCCUAUUUUGUUGGUCUCUAGGAUUGACGUA
rnacentral:rRNA from 1 species